CCUACGGGAGGCAGCAGUAGGGAAUCUUUCACAAUGGGCGAAAGCCUGAUGGAGCAACGCCGCGUGCAGGAUGAAGGCCUUCGGGUUGUAAACUGCUUUUAUAAGCGAGAAAUAUGAUGGUAACUUAUGAAUAAGGAUCGGCUAACUACGUGCCAGCAGCCGCGGUCAUACGUAGGAUCCGAGCAUUAUCCGGAGUGACUGGGUGUAAAGAGUUGCGUAGGUGGCAUAAUAAGUAGCUAGUGAAAUCUGGUGGCUCAACCAUUCAGACUAUUAGCUAAACUGUUAAGCUCGAGACCGUUAGGGGUAACUGGAAUUUCUAGUGUAGGAGUGAAAUCCGUAGAUAUUAGAAGGAAAACCAAUAGCGUAGGCAGGUUGCUGGGACGGUUCUGACACUAAGGCACGAAAGCGUAGGGAGCAAACGGGAUCAGAUACCCCUGUAGUC
rnacentral:rRNA from 1 species